UGCCAAAUUGGGUGUCCCAGCUGUAACAGAGGGUGUCAAAGUUGUUGACAGUUCAGGGACUGAGAUAGAUGAUGAUGUUUUUGAGGAAAUUGUGAAGGAUCCAUCCACUGGGGUUCUAACCAUCAAAUACGAAACAGAAUCUGUCUCCAUGGUAACCUCUCCAAAGUCCCAAUCAUCCGUUUGUUCAUCGGACUCAGACACAAUCAUCCUUGAAGACACUCCUACCAGAAAGCGUCAGAGGCUGGACUCUGAAGCUAUGCAACUGGUGAAAUCCAUUCUUACCAAGAAAUCGGGUGGAGAAUAUAUAAUAAAUAAAUACAACCGAACUAAGUCCUUGACAGAUGAGAGCAGAAGAAAAUUGGUGAAUAUACUGGCAGCUGAGAUGACGGAGAAGAAUGGUACAUCUCCAUCUAGGCAGGUGAAGGAAAUGUAUGCACAAGGAAUUGUAAAAUCUUGUUCCCCAACCUCAGAGACCCAUUUUCCAAGAAUGGCUACGAACAUUUUUAUGAUAGCAACAGUAGUACUGGGUACUUGGCCUGGAGAAUUAAAACUAUUCAGAGAUGCAGUGCUAAAGAAAGGCAGUCAUCAUUUGGAGCUUUGGUGGAAGGACCAUCUGAUGAAGACAAGUCGGGAGGACCAACUGUUGGACGAGUUACCCAAUUCAUUCCAGAGACUGUCCUGUCUGAAGAUGAGUGCACGGAAGCGAUGUCACUGAUGAAACAUUCGGCUGACGUGGACAUGGUCAUCAAAAAGAUGAAGCUGACAUUUGCUCAUCGGCAUAACAUGGUCCUGGACCCACAGCAGUCAAGCAACAUUCUAUCUUAUUUUCCUCGUUUUAAAGACAUCAAAGGCUUGGUUGAACAAGAUUUUGUUCUAAUGUUUGGAGAGGAUGUAUCGGGCAAGUUUGUGGAGAAGUGGCCAACCACACUCAAAAAGAAGAUCAUCCAACAAUGCUGAGGAUGGGGCUGAAGUGAACGUUGACUUUGGUUGGGAGAGUGACCUCUCAUCGAUUUUGCUGCUCUUACACUUGAUCCCACCGACUGCUCUAGGUCGGAAGAGGCCAGGAAAAGUUUCUGCAUCCCGGGCAGAGAAGCAUCUUGGGGUCUUCAAGAAGACUGGAACAAGCGUCCAAGAACAUCUUGACACCAUUACUACCAGCACUCAACCCUGUCUCCUGGCUGUUGGAGUGAGGAAGAAUACAACCCACCAGUUCUUCAUAAUUCUCGACAAGAAUGCCAUACCUUGCAGGUCACACUCCUCUCUUGGUGCUUUUGAUGAACUGUUUAAAGCACACUUUGUGUUUGCGACAUCCUACCACACCAUGCUCCACACCAUGUACACAUUCAUCCAGACUACUUUGUACAACAUUGAUGUUGGGAAGGUCAAAGAGUCCUCGUGUUGCUGAAAUUAGGACAAGGUUGCUUCUGUAGUGUUUGACUUUUGUCUUCCACCAUUAAGUGUUUUGUUUGUCAGGCUGAGUUCCCUAGUUCAAACAUGCUUGUUCGACAUUUACGUUUAGUUCACGGUUACCUGCCUGGAAAAAAUCUUAACCUUAAAUGCGUUCAAACUGGAUGUGGUGGUGUGUUUGGUACUUUCUCUGGUUUUAGGAAGCCUUUGAAAACAAAACACUCAGAGUGUACUGAACUACAGAUUGGCACCAAUGUUCACUUAAACAGGACAGAAGAGACAGUGUCAGUUAAUGUAGAUGAGUCAGCCACAACAUCUGAACAGUUGAGACAAGCUAAUAGGAGCAGUCUGGAUAUGUGUGCCACUGCUGUUGCACAACUUAAGGCAGCUGGAUUAAGUCAGUCUACUAUGAAUGGUUUUGUCUCAUCCAUGGAGGAAGUGUACAGAGUACCGCUGUGACUUCAUUGUCUGUUCAGAAGUGGCAUUUGACAUGCCUGUGUUUUGUAAGAUAAAAAAUAUUAUUGUCAAAGAUGAUGAUGUAUUGCUCUGUGGGAAACUGAUGUAAACUGUGUGUUUUGAGGAGCAUUACCAGGCCCAUAAGGUCAGGCUGCAUCCAGUCAAAGUUGUUAAGGUUUUGGACAUGACAAAACUGCCUUACUCCAAACCAUUUGAUGUUCAAAUGGCGUAUGGAACAUCAUGUUCCACAUUGUAUGUUGUCCCAUAUUGCCAUUUCAUGCAGCCCUAAGGUCACCCUUUCUGUAUUCUCUCCCUAAAGUUGAUUGUUCUGCCUGACAAAGAA